UACGUAGGGGGCAAGCGUUGUCCGGAAUUAUUGGGCGUAAAGAGCGCGUAGGCGGUCCGAUAAGUCGGCUGUGAAAGUCAAGGGCUCAACCCUUGAAAGCCGGCCGAUACUGUCGGACUAGAGUCCGGAAGAGGCGAGUGGAAUUCCCGGUGUAGCGGUGAAAUGCGCAGAUAUCGGGAGGAACACCGAUGGCGAAGGCAGGUCUCUGGGCCGAUACUGACGCUGAGGAGCGAAAGCGUGGGGAGCGAACAGG
rnacentral:rRNA from 1 species